ACUUGGGGAUAACUUCAGGAAACUGGGGCUAAUACCGGAUAGGAGCUCCUGCUGCAUGGUGGGGGUUGGAAAGUUUCGGCGGUUGGGGAUGGACUCGCGGCUUAUCAGCUUGUUGGUGGGGUAGUGGCUUACCAAGGCUUUGACGGGUAGCCGGCCUGAGAGGGUGACCGGCCACAUUGGGACUGAGAUACGGCCCAGACUCCUACGGGAGGCAGCAGUGGGGAAUAUUGCACAAUGGGCGGAAGCCUGAUGCAGCAACGCCGCGUGCGGGAUGACGGCCUUCGGGUUGUAAACCGCUUUCGCCUGUGACGAAGCGUGAGUGACGGUAAUGGGUAAAGAAGCACCGGCUAACUACGUGCCAGCAGCCGCGGUGAUACGUAGGGUGCGAGCGUUGUCCGGAUUUAUUGGGCGUAAAGGGCUCGUAGGUGGUUGAUCGCGUCGGAAGUGUAAUCUUGGGGCUUAACCCUGAGCGUGCUUUCGAUACGGGUUGACUUGAGGAAGGUAGGGGAGAAUGGAAUUCCUGGUGGAGCGGUGGAAUGCGCAGAUAUCAGGAGGAACACCAGUGGCGAAGGCGGUUCUCUGGGCCUUUCCUGACGCUGAGGAGCGAAAGCGUGGGGAGCGAACAGGCUUAGAUACCCUGGUAGUCCACGCUGUAAACGGUGGGUACUAGGUGUGGGGUCCAUUCCACGGGUUCCGUGCCGUAGCUAACGCUUUAAGUACCCCGCCUGGGGAGUACGGCCGCAAGGCUAAAACUCAAAGGAAUUGACGGGGUCCCGCACAAGCGGCGGAGCAUGCGGAUUAAUUCGAUGCAACGCGUAGAACCUUACCUGGGUUUGACAUGGAUCGGGAGUGCUCAGAGAUGGGUGUGCCUCUUUUGGGGUCGGUUCACAGGUGGUGCAUGGCUGUCGUCAGCUCGUGUCGUGAGAUGUUGGGUUAAGUCCCGCAACGAGCGCAACCCUUGUUCACUGUUGCCAGCACGUUAUGGUGGGGACUCAGUGGAGACCGCCGGGGUCAACUCGGAGGAAGGUGGGGAUGACGUCAAGUCAUCAUGCCCCUUAUGUCCAGGGCUUCACGCAUGCUACAAUGGCUGGUACAGAGAGUGGCGAGCCUGUGAGGGUGAGCGAAUCUCGGAAAGCCGGUCUCAGUUCGGAUUGGGGUCUGCAACUCGACCUCAUGAAGUCGGAGUCGCUAGUAAUCGCAGAUCAGCAACGCUGCGGUGAAUACGUUCCCGGGGCUUGUACACACCGCCCGUCAAGUCAUGAAAGUUGGUAACACCCGAAGCCGGUGGCCUAACCGUUGUGGGGGAGCCGUCGAAGGUGGGACUGGUGAUUAGGACUAAAU
rnacentral:rRNA from 1 species